UGUUUCCAAGGGAAAUUCCGCCACUGC
rnacentral:sRNA from 1 species